AUUUAAUAAGCUGUAUAACUGGCCGGCAGCUGUAUAAAUUUGGCCCGGCCGCUAUCCUGUCCACAUGCAGCCGUCGGCCCAGCACAGCCUCGGUGAUCGCCGAAGGGAAGGGAGGAAGCGGAGUGGGAGCCGCGCAGCAUGGGGCCAGGAGAUCACCGGCUUGGUGUUUACCUGAAGAGAAGGAGAAAAAAGAAAAGAAAACAACCCAAGGAAACACACAUAUCUGAUUUCUCCAGCAAUGUCAAGAAAGAUAAAGAAGUAAAAGCACAAUGCUAAAGACAUUAUGAUCUGUGUGAGACACAGGCUACCCUGAAUUCACAUGUUCAGAACUCAGUGAGUAUGAUGAGAUGUCUGCCAUGGAUCAGGAAUAGUCAUAACCCUGUGUGUGAUGAUGGGCGGAAACAUAUAUUUAUCUAAAUAAAUUUAGAGCUCUUUCCCUAUGGACA
rnacentral:lncRNA from 1 species